rnacentral:lncRNA from 1 species
AUGCAAUUUCAGGAUAGCUCCAGGAAAUAGCCUGUUGAGAAUUCAGUGCUAGGAGAAAGCUGUACUUUCAAAAUGAAUCCUAUGCCUUCUAAAAAGACAUCCAUAUCAUCCACAUAUAUUUUCUUUCUUUGCCUUAGCUGCCAGGGAGCUAGCAGUUAAAUUAGGUGGCUCACAGCAAUCGUUAGCUCUUCUCUGUUUUCUCUGCAAAUGUAUCUGCAAUAUUUUUCUUCCAGAGUAAGGUCUUUCUCCCAAUGGAGAAAUCACUUGGGCCACUUCUGCAUCUAGAGUGUCAGACCCAAGCUAGGAAAAAGAAUCAUCCUUAAAAGUAUUUAUCAGCACUCAAGACCUUUACUGAGCCAGAGGAAUUGGUCCUGGUCCUCUCUUCCCUCCACAGAGACUGAAAACUUUGUCAGUUCAUCCGCACCCAAUACUUAUCAAGGACUACCAUGAGUCAGAGACUCUGCCAGCACUGGGCACAGAAGGAAGGAGGCCUUGUCUGGGACAUCAUGGUGCUUAAAGUCUAGAGAAGUGUCCAGAGAAGUCAAAGGCCAGAAGUCCCAAAUUAAGGUG